rnacentral:lncRNA from 1 species
GGGCAGAGUUGUAGGGGAGGAAGGGAGUGACGCAGCUAUUUGCACGGAGGAAAUCUAGUCAAAAGACGGCUGCGUAAUCAUAUUGCGGCACCGUUUUUUCUUGCAGCAGCUGCUGCUUGCUAAGGGUCCGCCCACUGCAGCUUUCUGCAGUCUGUGGCUCGUUCCUGUGAAACUGACCGUCGCCACUCUUCUCGCAAGCCCUGGCUACGAUUGCCUCUGUCCACUUCUCACAGCAUCUGCGCAGCCUUCAUCCCGGCAGCAGCCUCCGCAGUUACUCCCACAGCCCAGCCACUACCGCCCGUUCCACCUCUGCCCCAACCACCGCCGCUUCUGCUAUUUCGGUGAUUGUGAUAUGAUCCCACAGAUGAAAGUGGAACAAAAGCUCUUCUGCUUGUGACUUAUUCCUCCAUUAUUGAACAUGCCUUCUUCGGAUUUUGGCUUAGAGAGGUAAGUUUAUAACACUGCCUGAUUUUCUUACCUUUGCCUCAUCUUUACAAUAAACUGAGGAG